rnacentral:rRNA from 1 species
GAUGAACGCUGGCGGCGUGCCUAAUACAUGCAAGUCGAACGAAACUUCUUUAUCACCGAGUGCUUGCACUCACCGAUAAAGAGUUGAGUGGCGAACGUGUGAGUAACACGUGGGCAACCUGCCCAAAAGAGGGGGAUAACACUUGGAAACAGGUGCUAAUACCGCAUAACCAUAGUUACCGCAUGUUAACUAUGUAAAAGGUGGCUAUACUACCGCUUUUGGAUGGGCCCGCGGCGCAUUAGCUAGUUGGUAGGGUAAAGGCUUACCAAGGCAAUGAUGCGUAGCCGAAUUGAGAGGUUGAUCGGCCACAUUGGGACUGAGACACGGCCCAAACUCCUACGGGAGGCAGCAGUAGGGAAUCUUCCACAAUGGGCGAAAGCCUGAUGGAGCAACGCCGCGUGGGUGAAGAAGGUCUUCGGAUCGUAAAACCCUGUUGUUAGAGAAGAAAGUGCGUGAGAGUAACUGUUCACGUUUCGACGGUAUCUAACCAGAAAGCCACGGCUAACUACGUG